rnacentral:rRNA from 1 species
CAGUCGCCGCGGUAAUACGUAGGUGGCAAGCGUUGUCCGGAAUUAUUGGGCGUAAAGCGCGCGCAGGCGGAUAGGUCAGUCUGUCUUAAAAGUUCGGGGCUUAACCCCGUGAUGGGAUGGAAACUGCCAAUCUAGAGUAUCGGAGAGGAAAGUGGAAUUCCUAGUGUAGCGGUGAAAUGCGUAGAUAUUAGGAAGAACACCAGUGGCGAAGGCGACUUUCUGGACGAAAACUGACGCUGAGGCGCGAAAGCCAGGGGAGCGAACGGGAUUAGAUACCCCCGUAGUCCCUGUCUCUUAUACA